ensembl:snoRNA
CUGGCCUUGAAUCAAGGCCGGCAGCUUCCUGACCCUGUUGGUUUCAAGCAGGAGCCUAAAUGGUCUGUUGGCCAUUUCACAACUUGGGCAGUGAAAUGGUCAAUUCAUUAGAAAGAAACAGCU